AUUGAUGUAUUGAAUGAGUAUAUAGCCUUGGCUGACCGACGCAGGUAAUCUUUGAAAUUUCAUCUUGAUGGGGAUAUAUCAUUGCAAUUGUUGGUCUUCAAC
rnacentral:rRNA from 1 species